rnacentral:tRNA from 1 species
GGGGGUGGAGCUCAGUGGUAGAGUGUUUGCCUAGCAUGCAGGAGGUCAUCAGUUUGAUCCCCAUCACCCCUA